AGACAUUAUGUGUAAAUACCACAUCUUUAUUUACAUUUUAACGUAGGUAUAUAAAAGAGAAAUAACGGCAGAAGAAAUAUAACGCAUCAUUAAAGACGGCUAUCAGCUACGAUAAGAAAUGAAAUUCCUUGGUUUCAUGAUACUAUUGAGCUUGGCAUUCAUCUGUACUGCUGGCCAAUUUUGUAAUUUAAUUGAACCAUGUGAUGAGGGUUUUUGCUGUUCUGGUCGAUACGUAUCAUUUAAAAGAUGUAAACCACUUGCAUCAGAAGGUGAUAAGUGCGACAAUUUCAGACGAAAAUAUUGUAAUUGUGCAGAAGAUUUGAUUUGCGUUUCUAAUGAUGAC